CAAUAGCGUAUAUUAAAGUUGUUGCAGUUAAAAAGCUCGUAGUUGGAUUUCUGGUUGAAGCGACCGGUCGGGCGUUGAUUCGUCUGCACUGGAGUCGGUUUUGGCCAUCCUCUAGGAAAGUGCGUCUGGUAUUAAGUUAUCGGGCGUAUGAUCCUGGUCUUUUACUGUGAAAAAAUUAGAGUGUUUAAAGCAGGCCUUCGCCUUGAAUACAUUAGCAUGGAAUAAUAAGAUAGGACUUUGGUCUAUUUUGUUGGUUUGCAGACCGAAGUAAUGAUUAAUAGGGAUAGUUGGGGGUAUUUAUAUUCCGAUGUUAGAGGUGAAAUUCUUAGAUUUUCGGAAGAUAAACUUAUGCGAAAGCAUUUACCAAGGAUGUUUUCAUUAA
rnacentral:rRNA from 1 species